AUUGAACGCUGGCGGCAGGCCUAACACAUGCAAGUCGAACGCGUGGCGGACGGGUGAGUGAAGUGUGGGAAACAGCGCGAUGGAGGGGGAGAAAUACUGGAAACGGUAGCUAUAACAGCAUACCACCGGAGGUGCCCAGAUGGGAUGAGCUAGUAGGUGGGGUAACGGCUCACCUAGGCGACGAUCCCUAGCUGGUCUGAGAGGAUGACCAGCCACACUGGAACUGAGACACGGGCCAGACUCCUACGGGAGGCAGCAGUGGGGAAUAUUGCACAAUGGGCGCAAGCCUGAUGCAGCCAUGCCGCGUGUAUGAAGAAGGCCUUCGGGUUGUAAAGUACUUUCAGCGAGGAGGCGUUACCCGCAGAAGAAGCACCGGCUAACUCCGUGCCAGCAGCCGCGGUAAUUC
rnacentral:rRNA from 1 species